AUCUACGAGCAGGAGAAGGACGAAGACGGCUUCCUUUACAUGGUCUACGCCUCCCAGGAAACCUUCGGCUUCUGAGCCAGCAGGAGCGGGGGCCUCUGCCUGUCUGCCCAUCUGCCCCCAUCCACCUGCCCCUGCCUGGACCUGCCCACCCCUGAAAGACUGGCCUCUGGCUUCCCCCAGUCUCUACAUGGUGUAUGGAUCUGUGGUCAUUCUUCUGCAGAAUAAAGAUUGCUCAGGCCUGCCUGG